GGCGGGGCCGGGGAGCCCAGUGCCCAAGUCGCCCCGGGGUGGCAGUUCCCGUUAACCUUAACCACAAAGUCAAGGGUGUCUUCACGACCACUCAGGAAGGUCUCUGGACUCAGCUGAGUUUCCUGGGGUGGUGUCUCUCACACCCUCCCCUGCCGGUAUUGAGCCCGUGGGCGUGAGGCUCCGGUCUGGGAGUCAGAAGACAUGGGGCCUCACCGGCGCCACUGUUCAGCCACCCCUGUGACUCGGGGCGUGUCAGUGGCCCUCCCUGGCCUCAGUUUCCUCCUCAUAAAAUGAGAAUAAUUCCUGCCUAGCAGGUAAGUGUGCAGCUUAUAAAAGCCCUGUGCUUUCAACCGAGGUCAUGGACAGAGGAGCUCUUAAUAAAGAGGGAACAUGUUCUGUGAGGUGGCAGGAGGAUGGGGGGGGCCCAUUCGGUCCUUGUCCUGAUGGCCAGCUGUCCUUCCUUUGCCCCCUUCUCCCCCACAGACGGCAGAGCAGGUGCCCCGGAGGCCUCUGCGGAUGGAGGGUGGCCUGGCUGGUGCGAGCACAGAACUGCAUGGCGGGACCAGGAUGUGGAAGGUCAUGUCAAAGAAUGGAAAGAAGGGGCUCCUGGGUGGCUCGGUCCGUUAAGUGUCCGACUUCAGCUCGGGUCACCAUCUCCUGGUUUGUGAGUUCAAGCCCCGCAUCCAGCUGUCUGCUUGUAGCCUGCUUCAGAUCCUCUGUUCCUCCCCUCUCUGCCUCUCUCUCUGAAAAAUAAAUAAACAUUAAAAAAAAAAUGGAAAGAAGACAGACUAUGGAGCUAAUACAAUGACAAAGUCUGCUGUGACUCACCAGGCAAGGGGACGUGUGCACACCCGCGUAGGAAGCCAUGCCCGAGGGCGAGCGAGGUGCUUGCUAAGUGUGGCACAGGGAGUGGGCGGCGGGCGUGCGGAUCUAACUCUGAAAACCAGCGCUCCGGGUGGGACGAUCCCUGUUGGUUUUCCAUCACCAAGUGAAGUUUGGUCCAUUAAGGCUUCCUGGGGUCACUCAGAGUUCACGGUCCAAUGGAGGAAAUAGGCCAUCAGUUUUGGUGUCUCUCAAGCAGGUGCUCUUGUGAGCGGAAAGUCCUGUGCUUUCAGCGGAAGACCCCCCCGCCCCCCCCCACCCCCCAGCAUCCCCAGCCUCCUCGCAGGCCCUGGGGAGAGUAUAGCCACCCUUUUGCAGAAUGGCUCUGGUCCUGGGAGGAGGGUAGGGCCCAUUCCUAGGAAUGCUGCCCCUAAGCUCAGUGACUCAGUUUCCUUUACCUCCCCUCCCCUCCCCUCCAGAGUCCCAACCCUCCCAGGAUAAACAUCAUGAUGAACCUAAGAUGGGGACAGAAAUCAGCCGGUAGGGUACUACAGGAAGGAAGCCUCCAGCUCCAAGGGGCUGGUAUGAUGCAUGGACACCACACAUUCUGGGGCUGGGUCCUGACACAGACUUCGGUGAGCAUUGCCACCCACCGCUGCCCUGUCACUUUGAAGGCUGAGUCCUCAGGGUGUGUGUGUGUGUGUGUGUGUGUGAGCGAUGCUGACAUUACCAUAAUUAUAGGAAAACCAAGGACAUGGUUCCAAACAUUUUAGCAGAAGGAACCUUUUCCCGGGUAAACUCGUAAGGAGAAUCCUAAUUCAGGCAUGAGAGGUAGGGUCUGCCAGGGCCCUCUCCCCGACCUGUGGCAGCUUCUGGGGUACCCUGGGGUCUUAGGAAAGAGGCAGAAGAACACUGGCUUUGACCCCUGAGGACAGAGGCACCAGGGGACUGGGGGGCGUCUUGGGCUGCAGUCACAUCCUUGCGGCUCUGGGCCUUCCACAGGCUUCCGCCGCCUGCUGGCCAGGCUUAGGGAGGACUCUUCCUGGCUGGCCAAAGUUUCCAGAUAAUUAAGAGCUUACUUUUUUUUUGUUUUUGUUUUGAACUAGAGAGAGCAGGCAGAGGAGGAGGAGGAGGAGGAGAGAGAGAGAGAGAGAGAGAGAGAGAGAGAGAGAGAGAGAGAGAAAGGGAGAGAGAAUCUCCACUAACCAUGGAGCCCGAUGCAGGUCUCGACCUCACGACAGUGAGAUUGUGACCUGAGCCCAAAUCGAGAGUUGGAUGCUCAACCGACUGGGCCACCCCUGUGCCCCAAGAGCUUACCUCUUUUAAGCACCUUUUAAGUUCUGUUUAUUUUAUCGUGGUGAAAUAUACGUAACGUGAAAGUCACCAUUUUCACUAUUUUUUAAGCAUACAGUGGGUGCAGUGGUAUUAAGUCUAUUCACACUGUUGUGCGAGCAUCUCCCACCGUCCGUCUCCAGAACAUUUUCAUCACCCCAGAAACUCUGGGGAGUAAGAGCUCCCCAUAGAGCACCUUUUUAUUUUAUCUGAACUGCUUAGAAUUAAAAAAAAAUUAACGUUUUUAUGAUCACUGAGGAGCAGAACCUUUGUUUUAGGGAUCCUUCCACAGGUAGAGGCCAAGGCCUGUCUUCCUUACAUUAAUACCUGAGCCCUGAGGGAGAAGUCCCAGUGCGUGCACUUCACAGGGUCUGCACAUGCACAACCCGGGCCCUUGUGUCUUCUCUGGGCCCCGCAGCCGUGGGCAGGAACGUUCUCUGGGCUCUCAGACCGGGGUCUUCUUUUUGGCUGGAGAGGGUGAACCUUCCCAGCCAUUAGGCACCAUGAUGAACGUCAAGGUCAGGUUUAAUGAGAGUAAGGCAGUGGCUUUUGUGGGGCUCUGGGGCAUUAAUUGGGACCCUGCCACGUGAGUAUAUUUUGGAUUCACUACCCACCCAAUUUGGACCCCUAGCCGCCCCGUAAAAUACUUCAGCCGCCCAACACUUCAGUGCAUCUAAGGAAACCCUCUUAUAAUCAAGUAAAUUGGGUAUUCACUUCCUGCCAAUGUGCGAUUGAAGUCACCACUUUCAUUUUCAAAUUAUGAUUUCUCACAACUGAGCACCUGCGGAGGCCUCACAAGGUCCUUUUGCCAGGAGGAAAACUGGCCCCUCACAGGUACUUUCUGUGACUCCCACGUUCAUCCCCGCGGUCACCAUAUCCUCUUUCGAGUCCUUGUGACGGGCAGCAAGGCUGUGGAGCAGGGCGGAACUCUCUGGCCCAAGAACCAAAGGCUGCCAGAUUCUAGGGGAGGUUUUCUUUUUAUUUCUUAAAAUGUUUUAAAGGUUUGAAAAUUAUACUGAGUAUCCUCAUAAAAAUUCAAACAGUGCAGAGGACUGCCUGGGUGGCCCAGUCGGUUGAGCAUCUGACUCUUGGUUUCAGCUCAGGUCAUGAUCUCACCGUUGGUGGCAUGGAGCCCUGUGUCUGGCUCUGUGCUGACCUUGCAGAGCCUGCUUGGAAUUGUCUCUCUGUCUCUGUCUGUCUCCGACCCUCGCCUGCUGGUGCACAUGUGCUCUCUCUCUCUCUCAAAUGAAUAAACAUAAAAAGAAAUCGAACAAUGCAGGAAAAGCAAGGGUCCCCUUUGACCUCUUCCGUCUAGCCUUUAUAUUGUCCACGUUGUCUACAGGGUGACCACUGUCGUGAAUCAUCCUGGACUGUGCAUAUGCACGUCCAUAGUUUUAUUUUUCAUAAAUUGGGUCAGACGAUACCAUUUUGCGAUCUGUGUUUUUUGUUUUUUCCUUAAAGUGUUUCAGAAAUCUUUAUGCCACCCUAUACUGCUCUUUUGUAUUCUUUUAUUUUUUUUUUAUUCUUUCAAAGUUUAUUUAUUUAUUUUAAGAGAGAGAGAGAGAGCACGCACCAGCAGGAGAGGGGCAGAGAGACAGGGAGAGAGAAUCCCACGCAGGCUCCGGGCUGGCAGCGCAGAGCCCAACGGGGGACUUGAACGCAAGAACCCUGAGAUCAUGACCUAAGGUGAAGUCAAGACCCUGACCUUUAACUGACUGAGCCCCCCCCGGGCGCCCCUGCCUUUGUAUUCUUUUAAAUUGCUGCAUACUAUUCCAUACUGUGAAGGGAGUGAUAAUUUUGUUUCAGUAUUCUUGAUGGGGAAUCAGUACUGGUUAAGAAUAGCGCUGCAGUGAAUAUUUUCAGACAUUCCUCUGUCCGCUCACACGGAAGCAUUCAUUAGGCCGAACACCCAGAGUAGAAACUGCUGGGUGGAGGAAGUGGAAGGUCAGAUACAUUUAUAAUUGUAAUAAGCGUUGCCCAGUUGUUCUCCGAAAGGUCUGAAUCAGUUCAUGCCCCCGGCACAGCCACGCGUGCACUUGUCCUGUGCGGUUUGCGUGUGCGAUCCACAUCUGGGUGCAAGUUUCUGUGUGGACAGAGGUUUUCACCUCCUUUGGGUGUAGACCUGGGGGAGCGGUUGCUGUACCGUAUGGUGAGCGUAGGUCUCCUUCCGCCAAACUGUCUUCCAAAGUGGCUGCACCAUUCUGCAUUGCCUCCAGCAGCGGGUGACAGUUCCUGGGGCUCCACAUCCUGGCCGGCAUUCGGUGUUGGCGGUGUUCUGGAUUCGGGCCGUUCGAAUAGGUAUGCAGGGGUAGUAUUUUAGCUGUCAGUGGUGCAGAAGCCAGAUUCUACCUGGCUCAUUUUUAGCGUCUCCUGGAUGAUUUAUGCACAUCAGAAAUUUUGUAAUUUGCUUCACCAGGAUGACACCGAAUUUAAACAUGUUUUGGAGUGAAGAGCUUCCUUCCUCCUCGUCUAGGGAUAUGAUGUUUCUGUCCUUUUUGUUACCUUUUCUUUAUCCCUCCAAUAACGUUUAAUAGUUUCCUUUAUAUAAGGGUUGUUUUAAGUUUAUUUUUUUGAGAGAAUGUGUGUGCGUGCGCAAGCGGGGUAGGGGCAGAGAGAGAUGGGAGAGAGAGAACCCCAAGCAGGCGGCUUCCCAAGAGAGUCGUCAGUACAGAACCCAACGUGGGGUUCGAACUCACGAACCAUGAAAUCACGACCUGGGCCGAAAUCAAGAGUUGGACGCUUAACCGACUGAGCCGCCCAGGCGCCCCUGCGUUAUAUAAGCUUUGCAUGUGUAUCAGGUAUAUUCCCAGUUAUUUCAUAGCUUUUAUUGCCAUUUUUAAAGAGGAAUUUUUGUAUGUUUUUGUAUAGGGCAAUCUUGCCGACCCUGUUAUUUCUAAUAUUUUGUCAGAUUCUUUUGCACAUCCUAGGUGAAUAAUUAUCAGCCAAUGACGCUUUUCCUUUCCAAUAUUUAUAUAUGUUUUUCUUUUUCCCCUUAUGCUUUGGCUAGUUCCGCAAGGACAAUGUUGAAGAGUGGCAGUGACGGUGAGCAUCACCUUGUUCGUCACUUGAAUGGGUUUCUGAUCUCUUGCCUUUGGUUAUAACAUUUGCUGUAGCCUCCAGUGCAGCUUCUUUGUCAACCUAAGGAAGUUUCCUCAUAUUCCUAGUUUGCUAAGAGCCUCCUCCCUCCAGCCCUUCUUCCUUCUCUCCCUCCAGAAAUGAUGUUGAAUUUU
ensembl:lncRNA